rnacentral:rRNA from 1 species
GAUGAACGCUGGCGGCGUGCCUAAUACAUGCAAGUCGAGCGAACGGACGAGAAGCUUGCUUCUCUGAUGUUAGCGGCGGACGGGUGAGUAACACGUGGAUAACCUACCUAUAAGACUGGGAUAACUUCGGGAAGCCGGAGCUAAUACCGGAUAAUAUUUUGAACCGCAUGGUUCAAAAGUGAAAGACGGUCUUGCUGUCACUUAUAGAUGGAUCCGCGCUGCAUUAGCUAGUUGGUAAGGUAACGGCUUACCAAGGCAACGAUGCAUAGCCGACCUGAGAGGGUGAUCGGCCACACUGGAACUGAGACACGGUCCAGACUCCUACGGGAGGCAGCAGUAGGGAAUCUUCCGCAAUGGGCGAAAGCCUGACGGAGCAACGCCGCGUGAGUGAUGAAGGUCUUCGGAUCGUAAAAAUCUGUUAUUAGGGAAGAACAUAUGUGUAAGUAACUGUGCACAUCUUGACGGUACCUAAUCAGAAAGCCACGGCUAACUACGUG